rnacentral:rRNA from 1 species
GUGGGGAAUAUUGGACAAUGGGCGAAAGCCUGAUCCAGCCAUGCCGCGUGUGUGAAGAAGGUCUUCGGAUUGUAAAGCACUUUAAGUUGGGAGGAAGGGCAGUAAGUUAAUACCUUGCUGUUUUGACGUUACCGACAGAAUAAGCACCGGCUAACUUCGUGCCAGCAGCCGCGGUAAUACGAAGGGUGCAAGCGUGAAUCGGAAUUACUGGGCGUAAAGCGCGCGUAGGUGGUUUUGUAAGUUGGAGGUGAAAUCCCCUGGCUCAAACUGGGAACUGCCUCCAAAACUGCAUGACUAGAGUACGGUAGAGGGUAGUGGAAUUUCCUGUGUAGCGGUGAAAUGCGUAGAUAUAGGAAGGAACACCAGUGGCGAAGGCGACUACCUGGACUGAUACUGACACUGAGGUGCGAAAGCGUGGGGAGCAAACAGGAUUAGAAACCCGAGUAGUCC